rnacentral:rRNA from 1 species
UUUCCGGUUGAUCCUGCCGGAGGUCACUGCUAUCAGUAUUCGAUUAAGCCAUGCGAGUCAAAUGUUUUUCGUAAACAUGGCGUACUGCUCAGUAACACGUGGAUAAUCUGCCCUAAGGUCUGGCAUAACUCCGGGAAACUGGUGAUAAUUCCAGAUAUGCCAUAGAAACUGGAAUGUUCUGUGGUCAAAAGCUCCGGCGCCUUAGGAUGAAUCUGCGGCCUAUCAGGUUGUAGUGGGUGUAGUGUACCUACUAGCCGACGACGGGUACGGGUUGUGAGAGCAAGAGCCCGGAGAUGGAUUCUGAGACAUGAAUCCAGGCCCUACGGGGCGCAGCAGGCGCGGAAACUUUACACUGCGGGAAACCGCGAUAAGGGGAUACUGAGUGCCAGCAUCUUAUGUUGGCUGUCCGCAUGUAUAAAUAGCAUGUGUUAGCAAGGGCCGGGCAAGACCGGUGCCAGCCGCCGCGGUAACACCGGCGGCCCGAGUGGUGGCCACUAUUAUUGGGUCUAAAGGGUCCGUAGCCGGUUCGAUCAGUCUUCCGGGAAGUCUGACAGCUCAACUGCUAGGCUUCCGGGGGAUACUGUCGGACUUGGGACCGGGAGAGGUAAGAGGUACUACAGGGGUAGGAGUGAAAUCUUGUAAUCCUUGUGGGACCACCAGUGGCGAAGGCGUCUUACCAGAACGGGUCCGACGGUGAGGGACGAAAGCUGGGGGCACGAACCGGAUUAGAUACCCGGGUAGUCCCAGCCGUAAACGAUGCUCGCUAGGUGUCUGGGACGGUGCGACCGUUUCAGGUGCCGCAGGGAAGCCGUGAAGUGAGCCACCUGGGAAGUACGGCCGCAAGGCAGAAACUUAAA